GAUGAACGCUGGCGGCGUGCCUAACACAUGCAAGUCGAACGGAGUCCAGCCUUUAAGACCUUCGGGUCAAAGAGGGGAAGACUGAGUGGCGGACGGGUGAGUAACACGUGGGCAACCUGGCUCAUAGAGGGGGAUAACAGAGAGAAAUUUCUGCUAAUACCGCAUAAGCACACACUGCCGCAUGGCAGAGGGUGAAAAGAGAAUCGCUAUGAGAUGGACCCGCGUCUGAUUAGCCAGUUGGCAGGGUAAGAGCCUACCAAAGCGACGAUCAGUGGCCGAUCUGAGAGGAUGAACGGCCACAUUGGGACUGAGACACGGCCCAAACUCCUACGGGAGGCAGCAGUGGGGGAUAUUGCACAAUGGGGGGAACCCUGAUGCAGCGACGCCGCGUGAGUGAAGAAGUAUUUCGGUAUGUAAAGCUCUAUCAGCAGGGAAGAUAAUGACAGUACCUGAAGAAGAAGCCCCGGCUAACUACGUG
rnacentral:rRNA from 1 species